CUGCUGUGCUUCCAAAAAGGGCUUUGCUGUCUCAGGGAAAAGGGGCAAAUCUUGAUGCUGUGCAACAUCAAGGCGGCCUGGUGCUAGAGAAGAGGUUAAAUGACUCGGGGGAGUCAUUUUAGGGCUCUUUAUGGUGGCGUGGGAGUGCUGUGGCUGGUAACCGCAUGUACAAGCAUCAGCUCGGGCAGAAAUCAACGGUGCACAAAUUUUCUACACAGCUCGUUUGUCUCCCCUCCUGCCGUGCGGCUGCCUCCUCUCUAUUCCAAGCAGCUGCUUUCUGGGGCUGAGGAGCUCCAGUGGUUUGGUAAGGCAAGGGUUUAUACGGGUGCAUCGGUGCAGCUUUGGGGUUGCUUCACUGGGACAAGUCCCCCGUCACAACAAACAACCCUGGUAGUUAAACAGACCAAACGGAAGGACAGCUCGGAAACAGCUGCGGCUUGUUUUAAACGUGCACUUAUCAGGCUUGUAUCUCGCAUUCCUGGGGAAGGCGCUUUCUGCAGCUGGAGGGCUCUGCCAUGGGAAGGGUUCAAACCCCAGGCGCGGGUUAAGUGGCUCUUUGCCCUGACAGCUCAGGUUUCAGCCCCGCACACCUUCACCAGCCAAGAGCCAGCUGGCAGCAGAGGGCUGACAGGUUAUAAAAAGAAAAAAAAAAAAAAGCCAGCACCCUCCCUCCUUCCUUCUUAGUUUCCUACUUCUGUGCUUAACCACGUGGCGCGUCGGGGCUGGCGGAAGAAAAUCCCACGCUGGGUGUGCCCAAUGCUCUCCUCAGCUGUUGACCUCCGUGCCUAUUCCUCCUCUUCUUCACAGCUGGGUUUCGAUAGCUUGGGCCCAGCCCUCUCUGCAAAUCCACUUUUUUGGUCAUUUUUCCGCCCUUUUACUGCAUCUCUCCGGCCUGCGUGCAGUGACGUGCUUGGGAAAAGCCCGUCUCCUGCAGGUCAGUGCCCGCGCUGUUAAAACCCGGGUGCUGCAGCAGCUGGGUCUUGCUCAUGUGCCGCAACGUGCUUCCCUCCCUCGAGCAAAUCGCCAUCUCGGGCUGGCCUGCUGCAGUCCUGGCAGCGUUUUCAGCAGCAGCCACGUAGGGAGGAUGCUUUUAUUAAACAGCAGAUCCGUCUGCAUCACGCUGCCUCGGCUUCUUGCGCUGCUGCUGAUUGCCUGGAGCGGGUGAGAUGCCUCCCUCCGCUCCCAUUGACCUCUCCAGCUCCGCACCCGCGGCCCCGGGAUGCUCCUGCGAUUGCAAAGCGAGAUUUCAUCCUCCGCCAGCUGGCAAAUCAGUCUCUGCAUCGCCCCGAGCCCACAGCGGUUAAACGCUGCCUUAAUUCAGCUUGGGGAGAAACGUCUCAGCGGGAGGAGAAGAAAAACUAGCCAAGCCUGAAAGUCUUCGGCGUAAACAGCCCCAAGUCCAUCGCUGGGAGCACAGACGUGCUGUUUUGUGAUCCCUGCUCCGGUGGCUUCAUUUUCCCUUGCUUUUUUCAGCUGUUGCUCUGACAAACCUCCUGGAAAUUUGCUCCUGGGGGUUCACCACCUGCCUGCGCCCUGGGGCUGCUCCCUUUGGGUGGCUCCGUGCUGCCCCCUCUUGCCUCUCCUGUUCCCCAUGCUGCGAACCAGAGCUUGGAGGAGGAAAGAUGGGUGUCCGGUCCAGCAGGCAGCCAAAGGAGCUCUGAUGUGGCUGAAAAUAAAUGGCCAAAAAUGAGAAGAAAACGGGAAGAGGAAGGAAGGAGGAAUACUCUUUUUUUUUGGGGGGGGGGGAGGAUAGAGCGUGAGUGCGGCAUCUCUGCUGCCUCAGCCUGCAGGUAGCAAACCCCAAAUGCCCUCCCUGUGCCAGUGGCCAGCCAGAGCUGCUGGCUGGGGGUUAUGGGGGCUGCAGCCCUUUCUGACAGCAGCAUUAAGCACGUUUUUGGGGUGGCUGCUAACGCUGGCGGUCCUGGGAGCGUUAUGCAGGAGCACAAAGGCGUUGUGCUGAGGAUGCACGUAGCCGCUGCGUGUCAGCGGUGUGCUUCCAGCCAUCAGACGGGAGCCAUCGACUCGCUCAAAUGGCGGAAAGGAGCCAAAAUGCACAGCGCUGAUGCUGGGAGGCCUUUUUGGACUACAUAUCGAUUUUUCUACGGUACAGCGGUCAAGAAAGGGCUGGCUUGCCCGUGUCUUGCAGCUGCUGAAAGCUUUCAGCAAGCCUUCCUCCUGGAGGUGCUCGUGUCCCUGUGGAAAUUUUAAGAAUGAGUUUUAGGGAUAAAACUAUUAAGUGGAGCAAGAGUUCCGGUGGUGGUGCUCACAUCUCACCCACUGCACAGCACGCGUGGGGUUAGCCGAAAUGAUGCCGAACGGCACCUGCAGUCACGGCACUGGCUUACGGGAGUCCUGGGUUUCCCAUCCCAAGGUACUUGCAGGUUCCCUGCACCAAAAUGCCAUGCAGUCAAAGAUUUUGGAUGGUUUCGGUUAACGAGCGGAAAGGGGGAGCUUCCCCUCUGCCCAGCAUGGCAUGAACUAGCUCCUCGGUGGUAAGAGCUGAAGGUGGAAAUGUUAGACCUACUUGGUCCAGACGAGAGCUGAGCCUUGAAGGUUUUCCAUCCUGCUGCUGGCACGAGAAGCGGGGCGGGCUGGGCCCAGCCCCAUCUUUUUGCAGAGCACAAGGAGCUGCACGGCCCCUCCAGGUGAGCCUGGAGAAAGGGCUCAGCUCCGACAGCGCGUUAGCAAGAAAAACAGUUUGCUCCGUGUCGAUGGAGGCUGACUCACGGAGAUGCCAUCUCGGGGACGCGUGACCGUGGGUGGGCAGAGCUGACACAGGCAGGAGGGCGCCCGGCUUGGCCGUAGCAAACUCGGAGCAGCUGCUGAAGGCGCUGGUGGCUGACACAGAGCAUGGCCAGCUUCUAGGGGGCAUCCACCAGGAUCAGAGCAGCAAGCCCGUAGCGACGUCCCUAGGUCCCUGUGUUCAAGCUCCCCACCCCUUUCUCUUCUUGUACUCUCCAGGCUCUCACUUUUUUGUCCCUUUCCAGCCCGUGAGCAGCAGGCUUUCAGAUCUCGGGUAGCUCCAUCUCUGUUCCCUUGCGUCUACCAACUGAGCACGUGCACCAGCAAAGCUGUUUUGGUGCAGGAACCCUUCACUGGUGGCAAGUCCUUGCCCUGAAGCUUUCAAACGAAAGGGUUGUUAGGCAUUGGAAUGGGCUGCCCAGGGAAGUGGUUGAGUAGCCAUCCCUGGAGGUCUUUAAAAGAUGUUUAGAUGUAGAGCUUAGGGAUGUUUGGUUUAGUGGAGGACUUGUUAGUGUUAGGUCAGAGGUUGGACUCGGUGAUCUUGGAGGUCUCUUCCAACCUAGACAAUUCUGUGAUUCUGUGAAACGCCACGUUAGCUCCUGGGGAGAGGCGACUUGCUGAGCCAAUGCCAGCGCUAAAGCAGGGGCUUUCCAACACCUUCCCACUCCGAAGCUGCUUUGCAGAGCGCAGCUGCUGCCGUUUCAGCAUCACGAUGCCUCACGUGUACGCUGUGCGUGCAGCCCCUGGGACUGCGCGGUGCCCACACCAGCACCCAGCACAGCAGGAGUCCCCAGCGUCUCCAAACCUCGAGAGCCGCCUCCUCGCGGCACAUCGCACCGGGUGUAACAUCCCUGAUGGCUCAAAGACCUGCUCAACAGGGAGAAGUGAUGUUAGGAGCGUGGAUGCACUUUUAAUUUAAUUUAAUGCCAUUUAGGAGGUUAAUGCUUCUGCUGGUUCCUACGGGAGCUGCUCGUGGACUGUUCCGACCACUCGCGCUGAAGAACACCCGUGCUAGCUGAGAGCUCGGCAGCAAGCAGAGGCAGCAGCACAUGGGGAGACCAGCAGGGAAGCAGCACUCACCGCCGCUAUGGCAAUCCUGCUAACAGCACCGCGUCAGGUCUCCCUGCGGAACAAGUGGAGCAGAGCCGGGGAUUUUGGCUCAUUCUCACGUGCCGGCUCCGAAUGAGGUUGCCCAAAAUGCUAAAUAUUUAUCGCGGCUUCACCCGAAGUGAGGCCAGUCCUCCCGUACCUCGAGCUGCCCCAGAAGGGGUGAUUCGGGUCUCGUAGCAGUGCCUGCCCUGCUGCUUCUGUCUUUAGGGCAUGCUGUGCUCCAGGACCCCAUGGCUUGGGUGCAGGCUGGAUGAGGAGCUGAAAUCAGUCUGUUCACUGGGUAUCUUUGCCUAGCUUAUCCUGAUGUAAGGUUUCCUAGCCAUUUUUUUUUUUUAAAUGGCAUUUCUUCGUUGUCCCAUUCCCCAUUUUAUUGGGAAUUCUGGCACCAUUCCAGAGAGGGCUGCAGGUCAGACAAGGCACCUUGGCUUUCCUCAAUCUCCUCGUUGCUCGUUGGCUGAAAACCCCACUGCCCUAUCCAUGUUUUUAACAAUGCCCAUAAAUAUACAUAUGGUAAAAAAAACAUAAACCC